rnacentral:snRNA from 1 species
AGUUUUGCGCAGAGGCAGUGUCGCAUGCAAUGAGGUUUUGCGGAGCAGCGACUAUUGCUAGUUGAACGUUGCUGCAAGACCAGGAAACAAUAUUAAAAAUGACUUCUCACUUUGGCGGAUAACUGGGUAUAUUUGUAAAAAU